rnacentral:rRNA from 1 species
UCGAACGAUGAAGCCCAGCUUGCUGGGUGGAUUAGUGGCGAACGGGUGAGUAACACGUGAGCAACGUGCCCAUAACUCUGGGAUAACCUCCGGAAACGGUGGCUAAUACUGGAUAUCUAACACGAUCGCAUGGUCUGUGUUUGGAAAGAUUUUUUGGUUAUGGAUCGGCUCACGGCCUAUCAGCUUGUUGGUGAGGUAAUGGCUCACCAAGGCGACGACGGGUAGCCGGCCUGAGAGGGUGACCGGCCACACUGGGACUGAGACACGGCCCAGACUCCUACGGGAGGCAGCAGUGGGGAAUAUUGCACAAUGGGCGAAAGCCUGAUGCAGCAACGCCGCGUGAGGGAUGACGGCCUUCGGGUUGUAAACCUCUUUUAGUAGGGAAGAAGCGAAAGUGACGGUACCUGCAGAAAAAGCACCGGCUAACUACGUGCCAGCAGCCGCGGUAAUACGUAGGGUGCAAGCGUUGUCCGGAAUUAUUGGGCGUAAAGAGCUCGUAGGCGGUUUGUCGCGUCUGCUGUGAAAUCCCGAGGCUCAACCUCGGGUCUGCAGUGGGUACGGGCAGACUAGAGUGUGGUAGGGGAGAUUGGAAUUCCUGGUGUAGCGGUGGAAUGCGCAGAUAUCAGGAGGAACACCGAUGGCGAAGGCAGAUCUCUGGGCCAUUACUGACGCUGAGGAGCGAAAGCAUGGGGAGCGAACAGGAUUAGAUACC